rnacentral:rRNA from 2 species
CGCACAAGCGGUGGAGCAUGUGGUUUAAUUCUGAAGCAACGCGAAGAACCUUACCAAGUCUUGACAUCCUUCUGACCGGUACUUAAUCGUACCUUCCCUUCGGAGCAGGAGAGACAGGUGGUGCAUGGUUGUCGUCAGCUCGUGUCGUGAGAUGUUGGGUUAAGUCCCGCAACGAGCGCAACCCUUAUCUUUAGUAGCCAGCNGUUAAGCCGGGCACUCUAGAGAGACUGCCAGGGAUAACCUGGAGGAAGGCGGGGAUGACGUCAAAUCAUCAUGCCCCUUAUGACUUGGGCUACACACGUGCUACAAUGGCGUAAACAAAGGGAAGCNAANNUGUGANGCCGAGCAAAUCCCAAAAAAAACGUCCCAGUUCGGACUGUAGUCUGCAACCCGCCUACACGAAGCUGGAAUCUCUAGUAAUC